UUUCUCCAUCCUUGUAAUCAAAUUUGAGCAAAAUCAAAUGGGGCUUUCUAUGAAAGUACCUUUUGUUGAUCUGAACGAGCUGGUAAUUUACAAAAUACCCUUCCUUUGUGAGGAAGGCUAGAGAAAAAAAAAAGAAUCAGUAGCUUUUAAAGCUGGGCCUUAGUGGGACUCUAAAUGCAAUGAAAGCAGUCUGUGUUGAGAGAUUGAAAUGCAUUUCAAAGCCAGGCCUGACUCGGGGUACAAGGAAGAACAGACCUGUGGGCAUUUUGUAGGGAGAAAAAUGUGAAUGGGAAAGGGCGAAAGGGAGAGAAACAAGGGGGGAAAUCUGGAGAAUACGUGAAAGUAGCUGUGAUUUUGGAGAUCCAUUCGUCUUACUGAAAUUGGGUACGGAAGCAGUGAUACCGAAGUCGGAUGUUUGCUCUAUCAGGAUGCUCAACACUUUGAGCCUUUAAAGUUUGGAGCUGCGUGGGUUUGUGGAGAAGUCGGCUCAUGAUAUUUCCUCGUGGCAGCGACUCUCCUUCACCUCUUUGAAUUCAGAAGGAUGGCAUAGACAUCGUAACAACA